rnacentral:rRNA from 1 species
UACGUAGGGGGCGAGCGUUAAUCGGAAUUACUGGGCGUAAAGCGUGCGCAGGCGGUUUUGUUAGACAGAGGUGGAAUCCCCGGGCUCAACCUGGGAACUGGCUUUGUGACUGCAUGACUAGAGUACGGCAGAGGGGGAUUGAAUUCCGCGUGUAGCAGUGAAAUGCGUAGAUAUGCGGAGGAACACCGAUGGCGAAGGCAAUCCCCAGGGCCUGUACUUACGCUCAUGCACGAAAGCGUGGGGAGCAAACAGG